rnacentral:rRNA from 1 species
GACGAACGCUGGCGGCGGGCUUAACACAUGCAAGUCGAACGGCGAACCUCUUCGGAGGGGCUCAGUGGCGAACGGGGGAGUAACACGGGGGGAACCAGCCCGCGGCUCUGUGAUAACUCCAAGAAAUUGGGGCUAAUAUCGGAUGAUCACCGCUUCCCGCAUGGGGGGUGGUGCAAAGGGUUUGCGGCUGGGGCUGGGCCCCCGGCCUAGCAGCUGGUUGGGCGGGUAGGGGGGGACGAAGGCGACGACGGGUAGCCGGCCUGGGAGGGUGGCCGGGCACCCGGCGCCUGCGGCAGGGCCCAGAGUCCAACGGGGGGCAGUAGUGGGGAAUCUUGCCCAGUGGGCGGACGCCUGACGCAGCGACCCCCCGUGGGUGAUGCCGGCUUUCGGGUUGUAAACCUCUUUCGGCAAGGACGAAGCGCAAGUGACGGUACCUGCAGAAGAAGCACCGGCCAACUUCGUG